UCCGGCUUAUCACCGGCAGUCCCUUUAGAGUGCCCAACUAAAUGAUGGCAACUAAAGGCGAGGGUUGCGCUCGUUGCGGGACUUAACCCAACAUCUCACGACACGAGCUGACGACAGCCAUGCACCACCUGUGCACAGGCCCCGAAGGGCUGCCGUGUUUCCACGACAUUCCUGUGCAUGUCAAGCCCUGGUAAGGUUCUUCGCGUCGCAUCGAAUUAAACAACAUGCUCCGCUGCUUGUGCGGGUCCCCGUCAAUUCCUUUGAGUUUUAAUCUUGCGACCGUACUCCCCAGGCGGGGCACUUAAUGCGUUAGCUCCGGCACGGGAGGAGUCGACACCUCCCACACCUAGUGCCCAUCGUUUACGGCGUGGACUAC
rnacentral:misc_RNA from 1 species